AUGGCCUGGGGCACGGUGGUCCACGUGGCCCCGGGGCAGCCCACCCAGGCCGUGUGUGUGCUGGGCACCGAGACGCAGCUGGAUGUCUACAGCUCUGCCCCCAAGGGCUCCACAUCCUUCAGCAUCACCGCCUCCCCAGGAGUGGUCGUGAAGGUCGCCCACAGGCCUCCAUCCAAGAAGAGUCCCACAGGCUCGUCCCAGUGGCCCCUGGAGCCCAGCCUGGACGUGAGCCUGAAGCUGAGUGCAGCCAGCGAGAGCACAGGGGACCAGCAGGUUCAGAUUUCGUACCAUGGACCCGCGCCCACCCCGGUUGAAGCCCUGCUCUACGUCACUGGGGUCGAAAUCUCCUUGAGUGCAGACAUCAGCCGCACUGGCAAAAUGAAGCCCACGGGCAGCGUGAAGGACCAGAGGGCCUGGACCUGGGGCCCCCGUGGGCAGGGCGCCAUCCUGCUGGUGAACUGUGACAGAGACAACCCCGACUCUUCCGCCGUGGACUACCAGGAUGAGCAGCUUGACGGCAACGACCUGGAGGACCUGUCCCUGGUGACCCUGAGCACCAAGACCCCCAGGGACUUUUUCAGCAAGCACCAGCUGGUGCUCCACGUGGCCAAAUCUGAGAUGGACAAAGUCAGGGUGUUUCAAGACAACGGGGGCCGGCAGCCCUCCCGGUACAGCGCGGUCCUGGGGCCGGAGCGCCCGUCUCACCUGCUGGAGCUCCCGGGCGGCCGGCGCAGCACGCACUUCUACGUGGAGGGCCUGGCCUUCCCCGACGCCAGCUUCCCGGGGCUCGUUUCCCUCCACCUCUCCCUGCUGGACGCGUCCAACCCGGAGCUCCCCCAAAGCCUGCUUUUCCAGGACAGCGUGGUCUUCCGUGUGGCCCCCUGGAUCAUGACCCCCAACACCCAGCCCCCGAAGGAGGUUUACGUGUGCAGGUUAUUUGAAAAUGAGGACUUCCUGACGUCACUGACCGCGCUGGCCAGAAAAGCCAAGUGCAAGCUGACCGUCUGUGCGCAGGACGAGAGCGUGAAUGACCGGUGGAUGCAGGACGAGAUGGAGAUUGGCUACACCCAAGCCCCACACAGGACGCUGCCCGUGGUCUUUGACUCCCCGAGGAACAGAGGCCUGAAGGACUUCCCCAUCAAGUGCAUGCUGGGUCCAGAUUUUGGCUACGUGACUCGCGGGCCCCAGACGGGCAGUGUGACUGACCUCGACUCCUUUGGGAACCUGGAAGUGAGCCCCCCAGUGACGGUCGGGGGGAAGGCGUACCCGCUGGGCAGGAUCCUCAUUGGGGACAGUGGUUACCCCAGCAAGGAGAGCCAGGAGAUGCACCGGACCCUGCAGGACUUCCUGGGUGCCCAGCAGGUGCAGGCCCCGGUGAGACUCUACUCUGACUGGCUGUCUGUGGGCCACGUGGACGAGUUCCUGAGCUUCGUUCCGGUGCAAAAGAAGGGCUUCCGGCUUCUCCUGGCCAGCCCCAGGGCCUGCUACAGACUGCUCCAGGAGCAGCUGAAGGAGGGCCACGGGGAGGCCCUGCUGUUCCAAGGGGUCAAGAAAAGAAAACAGCAGAAAAUAAAGGACAUUCUGUCAGACAAGAAACUGAGAGAACACAAUUCGUAUGUGGAGAAAUGCAUCGACUGGAACCGGGCAGUGCUGAAGAGGGAGCUGGGCCUGGCCGAGCGGGACAUCGUGGACAUCCCGCAGCUCUUCAAGCUCAUCAAAGACUCACGAGGGACCCCCAAGGCCGAAGCCUUUUUCCCAAACAUGGUGAACAUGCUGGUGCUGGGCAGGCACCUGGGCAUCCCCAAGCCCUUCGGGCCCGUCAUCAACGGCCGCUGCUGCCUGGAGGAGGAGGUGCGCUCCCUGCUGGAGCCGCUGGGCCUCCGCUGCACCUUCCUCGACGACUACUACGCCUACCACGUCCGGCAAGGGGACGUGCACUGCGGCACCAACGUGCGCCGGCAGCCCUUCUCCUUCAAGUGGUGGCACAUGGAGCCCUGA
rnacentral:lncRNA from 1 species